rnacentral:rRNA from 1 species
ACGCUGGCGGUAGGCUUAACACAUGCAAGUCGUGCGAGAAAGUAUCUUCGGAUAUGAGUAGAGCGGCGGACGGGUGAGUAACGCGUAGGAAUCUACCUAGUAGAAGGGGAUAGCCCGGGGAAACUCGGAUUAAUACCGUAUACCUCCUUCGGGAGAAAGAGGGCCUCUCUUUGAAGCUUUCGCUACUAGAUGAGCCUGCGUAAGAUUAGCUUGUUGGUGAGGUAAAGGCUCACCAAGGCAACGAUCUUUAGCGGGUCUGAGAGGACGAUCCGCCACAUUGGGACUGAGACACGGCCCAGACUCCUACGGGAGGCAGCAGUGGGGAAUAUUGGACAAUGGGCGCAAGCCUGAUCCAGCCAUACCGCGUGUGUGAAGAAGGCCCUAGGGUUGUAAAGCACUUUAAGUUGGGAAGAAAAGUUAUUGGUUAAUACCCAAUAACCGUGACAUUACCUUCAGAAUAAGGACCGGCUAAUU